UGUGAGGGCCCAGUCCACGGUCAGGCACGGUGCUGCACACACUGCAAUCCCAGUUCCCGGGAGGUGAGGCAAGAUGGCUGAGUUCGAGGUCAGCCUGGGCUAUAGUGAGCUCGAGGGCAGCCUGACUAGCAAGACUCUUUCUCAAAAAGAAAAAAAAAGCCCCCAGUGCCACCUCCCCAAGCCUUACAUGGCUCUCACCAAGCCAUUUUACUUCUCUGCCUCAGUUUCUCAGUUUUCCCAGCUGUAGGAGAGAAAGAAAAAGCCAUCCACCCGGGACAGUGCCAUGAGGAAUGCCUAGGUGACAUCUAUCUACUGCUGAAGACGGUGAUUCAGAAAGACAGGCUGGCAUGUGGGCACCAACACAGGGCCAGGGGCCAGGCCCCAUUUGUCACAGCCCAACACCCUUCUGCAGGGAAGCAUGCAACUCAUCCUGGCCAGCUCAUGCCCUGAAAUGCUGCCCCACAGCGAGAGAACAGAGCUGCCUACGCUGUACGGUGCAGCCCUGCGUGCACUGCCGAGAAAGAAGCUGCAUGCGUGGGACUCUGCAGCUGCCGGUGCUCCGAGCUGGAGGUCGCAGGCAGAGGAGCUGGGGAGCGACGAGGAGCCGCGCUUGGUCCUCACUGCUGGGCCUGUCUGGGGUCUCGGUCCUGGCUGAGGCUCCUGGGCGUGCUUCCUUGAGCAUCCUGGGUCCCAUGGGCACAGCUUCUUCAAGAGUCCUGUGUCAGUGGAGGAUGGGCUACAAAACAGUCCCAGCGAGGCCCUUGGCUAUGCACUGAGGAGGACACACAACAGCUGGGGUAAAGAACCAGGCCUCUGUCCAGCCAGAGACCUCACACAUGAAGAUGGCAGGUUUCCAAAGACCCUCACCAGAGGACCCUCCAAGGAUCCAUUUUAAGGGCUCAAACAGACCAGCUUUCAAAAGAGGAGGGCCCCCUGCAGCCGACUCCCGGCCCCCACGCACCAGGGCCACUCAGCUCCAUGCCUCCCUGCCUUGAGGCAGGGUUCACAGCCUCAUUUAACAGAUGGAAAAACUGAGGCCCACGCAACACAGGCACUGGUCACCUCAGAAUCACAUGGCCAUUGAGUGAUGGAGAUGGACUUUUGUUCUUUUCAGCCUCUGCUUCUAAAGGGGGGCAGAGAAGGACCCCAAGAGUUCUGAGAAGGACAAGUCAGGAAGGAAUCUGGAGGCAGAGGCUUCCCCUGAGAUGGACCGCAGAUAACAUGAAUGCUGGGAAACCAGAUGAGGAAAGGGCAGCCUGGACAGUCGGGAAGCCCAGCCCGGGCUCAGAAAGGAAGCUUCUGUCCACUUCUUGUUCAUUUCACCCACCCGAGGCAGCCUCCUGUGGGCCUUCCGCAGGUCCUGCUUUCUCACCACUAAAUUGAGCAUGAUCUCUCUUUGUAGCUGUGAAGCCCACACCUGGGGCAUCCCUCCUGAGCCAGCUCGAUGCACCUCCCGGCUUCUCCAAACCCCACCGCCGCCUGUCCACCUCCUAGCCUUGGCCCAUGCUGCCCCUCCACCUGGGGUGCGCCUUACCCAACACAGAAACUCGAAUCCUGCUCACCCUUGGGAGUGACACCUCCUCUGGGAAGCCUUCCCUGAACCCCCUCCAUCCAGUGCCCCGCGGCAGCCAGCAGUGUCAUCUGUCACACUGUCAUAGCUUUCCGGGUCAGACUGGGGCCCUCAAGGAUCAGACAGAAGGAGAGGAGUCAGCCACCUCCUGGCCCAGAGCUGAUCUAAGGCACAGCUCAUAACACAGUGCAACCUCUCUAGGAGUACUGGGCUCCAUUGCUCUUCCGAAUUUGAAAAGCAGAGCAUUUGAGCAACAAGAUAAAUCAGCCUAAAAUUGCAACAACCAUGAAAUUAAUAAGCUGGGCAUGGUGACACACACCUAUAAUCUCAGCGCACGGGGAGACUGAGACAGGAGGGCCAAGUGUUCCAGCCUGCCAGGCAAAGUGCUGUACACCUGUAACCCUGGCACUCUGGAGGCUAAGGCAAGAGGAUCGAUGCAGAGUUCAAGGUCAGCCCAGGUUACAGAGUGAGUUCAAGGCAGCGUGACUCUGUCUCCAAAAAUAUAAUAAAAUAUAAAAGAGUUACAACCCAACCUGGGCAAUUUAGGGGGCUCUGUCUCAAAACAAAAACAAAGGGCUGGGGAUGCAGCUCAGUGCCAAGUUCCUGAGUUCAAUUCCCAGCAGUGUGUAAAUAAAUAAAUACCCAUGAGUUCCUCCAAAAAA